rnacentral:lncRNA from 1 species
CUUCAAAAAUGUCAAGGUCAUGAAAGACAAAAAAAGACUGAAGAACUGUUGUAGAUUAAAGGAGACUCAAGAGACUUGAAAACUAAAGGCAGCAUGCAUCCUAGAUUGGAUCGUGGACUAGGAAAAAAACUUUCUUUUGCUCAAGAGGACAUUACUGGGACCAUUUGUGAAAUGCAUAUGAAGUCUGUAGAUUAGACAAGAGUCAGAGAGAGCUGAACAGAAAGAGAUGGGUAGAGGGGGAGUUAUAGAGCAAACGGUGAAAUGUUCUUUUGGGGAAUCUGUGUGAAGGACAUUCAAAUCUCUCUCUCCCCCUCUCUCUCUCUCUCUCUCUCUCUCUCUCUCUCUCUCUCUCUCUCUCGACAGCGUCUCACUCUAUCGCCCAGGCUGGAAUACAGUGGUGCAACCAUGGCUCAGUGCAGCCUCAACUUCCUGGGCUCAGGCAAUUCUCCUGCCUCAGCCUUCCCAGUAGCCUGGACUACAGGUGCACAGCGCCACACCUGGGUAAUUAUUAUUGUUAUUAUUAUUAUUGCAAGUCCCCAAGAGGGCUUUAUUUUUUCUUUUCAACAUCGUGUGUGUGUGGGGGGGGGGGUGGGUGUGUGUGUGUGUGACAGAGUCUCGCUCUGUUACUAGGCUGGAAGGCACCGGCGCAAUAUCGGCUCACUGCAACCUUGGCCUCCCAGGUUCAAGAGAUUCUCCUGCCUCAGCCUCCCGAGUAGCUGGGACCACAGGCGCACGCCACCACGCCAGGCUAACUUUUUUUGUAUUUUUAGUAGAGACGGGGUUUCACCAUGUUGACCAAGAUGGUCUCGAUCCCUUGACCUCGUGAUCUUCCCGCCUCGGCCUCCCAAAGUGCUGGGACUGCAGGCGUGAACCACCACGCCCGGCCCAAGCUUUCUCCUUCUUAUAGACGUUCCGGAUGGGCACGACCGGGCCUGUGAGUUGGGUGGCCAGUUUCAGUUCUCCAGCAGAACUGUCUCCCUUCUGGAGGGCUGAGGGCUUCCUGGGAAGAGGAUGCGUUUGGAGUGGUACUCCUUCAGCCGCUGCACGUUGGCCUGCAGGGACUCCUUGGACUUGUUCCGUUCCGCUUCCUCAAAUCCACAGAAAUGUCAAUGAUCCAGGCUGCCUUCUUGUGAAUGUCGGCCACUCUGAGCUCCCCCAGGCUGAAGCCACGGCCAGCGCGCACCUCCAUGCGGGCCCCGAACCGUGGGUCAGCGCACCACGAGCCAAUAGGCAGCGUGCUAUGGGCCGGAUGGGCCCCGUCGCGGGACACUCGGCGAUGUGGCACGCCUUGGCUUGCCGGGCCUUGCGUCCAGGGAUCCUCCGCACCGGCUGGUUGAACCACCUGGCCACGAGCCGCUGCCAGUUCUCGUGGAAGUGGGACUUCAAGAUCAUGCCAUUCCGGCUGGGCGCCCAGUACGGUCCUUCUGUGCAGAAAAACAGCCGAGCGGAAGCAACUCCUGGAAAAAGGCUGACAGGAGUUCUCAUGAAACAAACAACAGAACAGGAUGGCGAAAAGUUCUGAAACUGUGGAGUGCAGUGCAACCCAGGGACCAAGAGCUCAAGUCACUCAUCUCCAGCAAUCUGUGACCUUGAGCAUGUCAUUUAAGCUUUCUGUGCUUCAGUUGACUCAUCUAUCAAAUUGACAACAUGGUAGUAUCUACCAAGGAGACUAUCUAUAUGACACUGAGAAAGGAGUUCUUAAACAAGACACUUAGAACCAUAGAGUGGAAUGCUGAAACAUUUGAAUUAAAAUGUAAAACUUUUUAAUGACAACACACCAUUAACAAAGUAAAAUGACAAACCACAGAGAGAAGACCUAACCAGGACACAAGAUCCCUAUCCAGAAUAUGUAAAGAACUCCUAUGGACUAAUUUUGUUUAAACCAUAGGUAAACCUAAUAGAAAAAUGGGCCAGAAAUGUGAACAGGCAAUUCACGAAUAAAGACACCCAGACAGCUGUAGGAUACAGUGCAGAAUAUCACUCAAUUCAGGAAAAUAAAAGUGAAAUCCACAAAGAUAUCAUUCACAGCCAUCAUCAUAGUCAAAAAUAAAUAAAUGAAUAAAGUCUGAAAAUAUCAAAAGUUGGCAAGGAAUUUACAAAUGGUACUUACUUAAACACUGCUGGCAGGAAUAUACUUCUUUAAAUAAUACUUCUUUGGAGAGUAAUCUUGCUAAAUCUUGUGAAGUUUAAAAUGUGAUCUACUACAAAGAUAGCAAUUCCAUUACUAAAUGAGUAUCCUGGAAAGCUCUGAAAUGGGUACCCAAGGAGAUAUGCACUAGCAGGUUCAAUGCAGUACUAUUUGUAAAAAGAAGCAGGAUGGGGAAUAGUGGCUCACACCUGUAAUCCUAGCACUUUGGGAGGCCAAGGCAGGCAGAUCACUUGAGGUCAGGAGCUUGAGACUAGCCUGGCCAACAUGGUGAAACCCCAUCUCCACUAAAAAUAGAAAAAUUAGCUGGGUGUGGUAGCAGGGGCCUGUAAUCCCAGCUACUCGGGAGGCUGAGGCAGGAGAAUCACUUAAACCCAGGAGGCAGAGAUUACAGUGACCUGAGAUCAUGCCACUGUACUCCAGCCUGGGCAACAGAGUGAAACUCUGUCUCAACAACAAAAACAACAAUAACAAAAAUUGAAACAAAACAAAACCUAACUUCCUUAGUAUGAAACAUAAACUGUGGCUGAUUCAUACAAUCCUAGCCAACAAAUAAAAUAAAUAAAUUAGAGCAGUAGUUCUCAAACUUCAGGGUAUACUAAGAUCGUUAGAAGGGCUUGGUAAAGGACAGAUGACGGUCCUACUAGAGUUUCUAAUUCUUUCAGUGAAAACUUGCAUUUCUAACAAAUUCUCACAUGCUGCUGAUGCUGCUGGUCCAGGAGCCACACUUUAAGAAUCAGUAAACUGAUUGCUUUGGAAAUAAUAAUAAUAAAAGGAAUCAGUAAACUGGGGGGAUAGAGGCAGCAAACCACCCUGCCAUGAAUGUACCUAUAUCACAAUCUUGCAUGAUCUGCACAUAUAUCCCAGAAUCUAAAGUACAAUUUAAAAAAAAUCAGUAAACUAGUUACAUGUUUCAACAUAUUUAAAUCUUAAAAACCUAGUACAGUUUUAUUAAAAGUCACAAAAGGAUACAUAAACUAUAUUUAAACACUAUUAAACAACACUAUACAGUUUACAGAAAUAUUUUUUAUAAUAAAAGUAAAAAAUACAAGCUGGGCACUGUAUUACUGGGCUCAUGCCUGUAAUUCCAGCACUUUGGGAGGUCAAGGUGAGAGGAUCCCUUGGGGCCAGAAGUUUGAGGCCAGCCUGAGCAACAUAGCAAGACCCAGUCUCUACAAAAAAAAAUUUUUUAAUUAGCCAGGCAUGGGGGUGUGAACCUGUCAUCCUACCUACUCGGGCAGCUACAGCAGGAGGUUUGCUUGAGCCCAGGAGUUUGAGGCUGCAGUGAGCAAUAGCAUCACUGAACUCUCACCUGAGCAACAGAGUGAGACUCUGUUAAAAAUAAAAUAAAAAGUACAAAAUAUACAUAGGAAUGUAUUUCAGGAGAGUGAUUACCUCUGGGGAGAGAGACGAGGGUGAUAGGAGAAGGGCCUUACCUGGUUUUGUGUUUGUUUGUUUUUUGAGACAAAGAUUCUCUCUUGUCACCCAGGCUGGAGUGCAAUAACUCAGUUUCAGCUCACUGCAGCCUCUGCCCCCCGGGUUCAAGCGAUUCUCCUGCCUCAGCCUCCUGAGUAGCUGGGAUUCAGGUGUGUGCCACCACACCCAGCUAAUUUUUGUAUUUUUAGUAGAGAUGGGGUUUCACCAUGUUGCCCAGGCUAGUCUUGAACUUUUGACCUCAGGUGAUCCACUGGUCUUGGCCUCCCAAAAUACUGGGAUUAUAGGCAUGAGCCACCAUGCCCAGCCAGCUGUUUUUACAUCGUUUUAUUUCUAAAGCAAGUUAGUAAAAGCUUUUACAUUUGUUUAAUCACACUGGUGAGUAGAAAGGUAUGUAUUAUGUUAUUUUGUGUACUUUGAUGUAUGUUUGAAAUGUUAAGAAAUUUUUUUAAGUUCAAAUCAUUUAGCAUCCAUCCUAUAGGGUCGCUGUGUAGAGUAAAUGAGGUAAUGUGAAAGUUCUGGGUAAAGACGGCAAGAUGAAAUUGGGUCAUAGAAUCUCUGUCCCAGUAUAUGUAACCAGAAAAAUAAUAAUUAAGAAAUGAAAUUAAGAGAUACCAGGCCAGGUGCAGUGGCUCACACCUGUAAUCCCAACACGCUGAGAGGCCAAGGCGGCAGGCUUGCUUGAGCCCAGGAGUGUGAGACCAGCCUAAGCAACAUGAUGAAACCGCAUCUUACAAAAAAUAUAAAAAUUAGCCAGGCCUAGUGGUGUGUGCCUGUGGUCCCAGCUACUCAGGAGGGCGGAGAUGGGAAGAUUGCCUGUGCUCAGGAGGUUAAGGCUGCAGUGAGCCCUGAUCAUGUCAUUGUACUACGGCCUGGGUUACAGACGGAGACCCUGUCUCCAAAAAAAAGAAACAAAGAAACAAAGAAGCACCUCAAUCUCUAAAUGUUUUUCAAAGUCUUUUUCUUU